GGUGAACGCUGGCGGUAGGCCUAACACAUGCAAGUCGAACGGCAGCACAGUAAGAGCUUGCUCUUACGGGUGGCGAGUGGCGGACGGGUGAGGAAUACAUCGGAAUCUACUUUUUCGUGGGGGAUAACGUAGGGAAACUUACGCUAAUACCGCAUACGACCUACGGGUGAAAGCAGGGGAUCUUCGGACCUUGCGCGAUUGAAUGAGCCGAUGUCGGAUUAGCUAGUUGGCGGGGUAAAGGCCCACCAAGGCGACGAUCCGUAGCUGGUCUGAGAGGAUGAUCAGCCACACUGGAACUGAGACACGGUCCAGACUCCUACGGGAGGCAGCAGUGGGGAAUAUUGGACAAUGGGCGCAAGCCUGAUCCAGCCAUACCGCGUGGGUGAAGAAGGCCUUCGGGUUGUAAAGCCCUUUUGUUGGGAAAGAAAAGCAGCAGGUUAAUACCCCGCUGUUCUGACGGUACCCAAAGAAUAAGCACCAGCUAACUUCGU
rnacentral:rRNA from 1 species